GGGAUACUAGCUCAGGCGGUAGAGCACUUGACUUUUAAUCAAGUUGUCCCGGGUUCGAGUCCCGGGUGUCUCAUCA
rnacentral:tRNA from 2 species